AUUCAUUGGACGAGUCCCAAAUAGGACGAAAUGCCCAUCCUGGAU
rnacentral:hammerhead_ribozyme from 1 species